rnacentral:rRNA from 1 species
GACGAACGCUGGCGGCGUGCUUAACACAUGCAAGUCGAACGGUGAAGCGCCUUCCUUUUUGUAGGGUGGUGGUGAGUGGCGAACGGAUGAGUAACACGUGAGUAACCUGCCCCCUUCUUCUGGAUAACCACAUGAAAGUGUGGCUAAUACGGGAUAUUCUGGGUCUGUCGCAUGGUGGGUCUGGGAGAGGUAGUGUUUCGUUGGGGGAUAGGAUCGCGGCCUAUCAGCUUUUUGGUAGGAUGAUGGCCUACCAAGGCGGUGGCGGGUAGCCGGCCUGAGAGGGUGGAGGGUCGAACGGGGACUGAGACACGGCGCAGACGCCUACGGGACGAAGCUGUGAGGAAUAUUGGACAAUGGGCGUAUGCCUGAUUCAGCGACGCCGCGUGAGGGAUGCAGGCCUUCGGGUUGUAAGCCUCUUUCGUCAGUGACGCCUGCCUGCCUCGUUUGUGGGUGGGUUGACGGUAGCUGGAUAAGAAGCGCCGGCUAACUACGUG